rnacentral:rRNA from 1 species
CAGCCGCCGCGGGAAUACGAAGGGUGCAAGCGUUAAUCGGAAUUACUGGGCGUAAAGCGUGCGUAGGCGGUGAGUUAAGUCUGCUGUGAAAUCCCCGGGCUCAACCUGGGAAUGGCAGUGGAUACUGGCUCGCUAGAGUGUGUCAGAGGAUGGUGGAAUUCCCGGUGUAGCGGUGAAAUGCGUAGAGAUCUGGAGGAAUACCGGUGGCGAAGGCGGCCCCCUGGACGAAGACUGACGCUCAGGUACGAAAGCGUGGGGAGCAAACAGGAUUAGAUACCCGCGUAGUCCCUGUCUCUUAUAC